CCAUUAUGAAAAGGAAGAGGAAGAGGAGAGCAUCACAGGUUAGAGUACAUGAGUUUUGGGUCUCUGGAGGAGGUGAAAGAGCACAGCUUUACAAUGAGAGUCGUACCUGAAGAGCUCUUACCCCCAUCAGGAAGGAAGGAGGUGCAAAACACAAACAGAAGAUUUUUACAGACUCACAGAGACACUGGCCCUUCAGUUUAGAGGAAUUAAAAGACAAAAUGUUCAGCU